AAGGAGAAGUCGUAACAAGGUUUCCGUAGGUGAACCUGCGGAAGGAUCAUUGUCGCGCGGAGAGGACCAACACGCGAACCGGUUCCGCCGGCGCGCCGCGGGGCCCUCCGACGCCUUCCGGCCGUCCUCCUCGGGGGACGCCGCGCGGCGCCGGCGGGGCCCCCGCGGGGCGCCAGAGACUCAGGGCGCGUCGCGCGCCAAGCACUCGAAGCGAAGGGUGCGGCGGCCUCGCCCGCCGCACGUCCCUGUCGAACGAAACACGACUCUCGGCAACGGAUAUCUCGGCUCUUGCAUCGAUGAAGAACGUAGCGAGAUGCGAUACGUGGUGUGAAUUGCAGAAUCCCGCGAACCAUCGAGUCUUUGAACGCGAGUUGCGCCCGAGGCCGCCCGGCCGAGGGCACGCCUGCCUGGGMGUCACGCCCCCGAUCGCUCCCCCGCCCCGGCGGGAGGCGGAGACUGGCCGCCCGUGCGCGUUCGCGCGCGGCCGGCCCAAAGCGCAGGCGGCUUCCGCGCCGCGCGGCGCGACGUGUGGUGGUCCGGAGGCGCGAGCCGCGGAGGAUCGGACGUCGCCCGCGGCGCGGCAGCCCGUGGGAUCCAGAGGCCCCGCUCCGGCGGGCGCCCGGACCGCGACCCCAGGUCAGGCGGGACCACCCGCUGAGUUUAA
rnacentral:sRNA from 1 species